rnacentral:rRNA from 1 species
GUAGGGAAUUUUCGGCAAUGGGGGAAACCCUGACCGAGCAACGCCGCGUGAGUGAAGAAGGCCUUCGGGUUGUAAAGCUCUGUUGUAAGGGAAGAAGAGAUCAUAGAGGGAAUGCUAUGAUUGUGACGGUACCUUACCAGAAAGCCACGGCUAACUACGUGCCAGCAGCCGCGGUAAUACGUAGGUGGCGAGCGUUAUCCGGAAUUAUUGGGCGUAAAGGGUGCGUAGGCGGCACAUUAAGUCUAAGGUUAAAGUUCGAGGCUCAACUUCGGAUUGCCUUAGAAACUGGUGAGCUAGAGUGCAGGAGAGGGCAAUGGAAUUCCAUGUGUAGCGGUAAAAUGCGUAGAUAUAUGGAGGAACACCAGUGGCGAAGGCGGUUGCCUGGCCUGUAACUGACGCUGAGGCACGAAAGCGUGGGGAGCAAAUAGG